rnacentral:rRNA from 1 species
CAUAAGCGGAGGAAAAGAAACUAACAAGGAUUCCCCUAGUAACGGCGAGUGAAGCGGGAUAAGCUCAAAUUUAAAAUCUGGUAGUCUUUGACUGCCCGAGUUGUAAUCUAGAGAAGUGUUUUCUGUGCUGGACUGUGUUCAAGUUUCCUGGAUAUGGAACAUCAUAGAGGGUGAGAAUCCCGUCUUUAACACAGACCCCCCAGUGCUUAUAUGAUGCACUCUCGACGAGUCGAGUUGUUUGGGAUUGCAGCUCAAAAUGGGAGGUAAAUUCCUUCUAAAGCUAAAUAUUGGCGAGAGACCGAUAGCGAACAAGUACCGUGAGGGAAAGAUGAAAAGCACUUUGGAAAGAGAGUUAAACAGUACGUGAAAUUGUUAAAAGGGAAACAAUUGAAGUCAGUCGCAUCUAUUUGGACUCAGCCUUACUUUGGUUUGGUGCAUUUCCUUGUGGAUGGGCCAGUGUUCAUGUUGAUUGCUGGAAAAGGGGCUAGGGGAUGUGGCUCUUUUGGGAGUGUUAUAACCUUGGCUCAUAUACAGUAAUUAAUAUGGAGUGGUACAGCAUGCUUCGGUGGUGCUUGUGCUGGCAUAAUGGCUUUAAAUGACCCGUCUUGAAACACGGACCAAGGAGUCUAACAUGUCUGCAAGUAUUUGGGUGAUAAACCCGAGUGCGUAAUGAAAGUGAUAGCUGGGAACCCUGCGAAGGGGGCACCAGUGCCCCGAGUGGAUCUUCUGUGAUGCAUCGGAGGUAGAGCAUAUAUGUUGGGACCCGAAAGAUGGUGAACUAUGCCUGAAUAGGGUGAAGCCAGAGGAAACUCUGGUGGAGGCUCGUAGCGAUUCUGACGUGCAAAUCGAUCGUCAAAUUUGGGUAUAGGGGCGAAAGACUAAUCGAAC